ACAUUUAUUUGGCUUGUUCAAGUAAGCUAUGUCCAGAACCUCUGCAAAGCUGUGGUAACAGACCCAGCCACAGCCGGGACGUGGGUAUGUGCAGGGCUUUGGCACAGCCUCUCUCUCCUGCAGGAGCCGCUGUACCCAAACACCCACUGCCUGUCCAUCCCUUGGCGACAGCCUCUCGGAGCGUCCUGCCUGCGGUCUGGACAACUUUGCACCCCGAGUGGAGGAACGUUGCCCAGCAGAGUCAAAACAAAAGAAAUUAUAGGAACCAAGGUGGGCAAAGGCCAGAAAUUUAUCGCUUUUGGAGCUUUGUUUGCAAUAACUCAGGAAGAAGGUCACAGAGCAGAGAACCCUAUUAAGCUGAACUGACCUGAGCGAAGCCCAGUAUCCAGAGGCGAAAGACAAAAACAAGGACGAGGGAGUUUUAAUACCGUAGCCACAGCCCUCAGAAUUGGAAGUGAGAGGGUGCAAGGACUGCAGCAAAUAUGGGAGGAAUUUGGGAUUCAGGAGGUGUUGAUCUAGCUCACAAACUUCCUGCAGUGUUUUGCUGAUACAACAUAAGGUCUCUCGUGUCACUUCAAACUUCCAUAAAGUAUUAAUACGAACACACUCCAAUCCCGCAUAAAGUCCCAUGGAAACGGGUCACAAUCUUCUUGUCAGAUCAUAUCUAACAGGUACUAUACAUAUAUUUAUUUCUAUCUAUUUAUAUAGCCUCCAUCACCAUAGUAACUUAUCCAUCUGUUAAUACUACACGAUCUCUUCCUUUAUUCAAGAGAGAUAAAAUACAGUUUUCCACUAUCAGCCCUCAAGGUUACCGCACCAUUUUGACAAGUGAUUCCAAGAGCACAUCAUAGCCUGCCAAAUUCUGCACUGCCGGUGAUGCCUGCUGAUUACUUUGGCCUGGGACAGGAGCAGGGAAAGGAAGCUGUCCUCCAGCAGGGCUUCAGAAAGAAGCCUGCACUGGAGCACAGAAAAGAGCAAUAUUAAUUCCUGCAUUCUGUUCCAUCUCAUGCCAAAUCAACUGCUCUAAAUAUUGAUUUUUUUUCUAAUGCUUAAACUAAAAAAAGAAGAAAAAAAGAAAAAAAAAGGCAAAAGAGAGAAUCUGAGUCCAAAGAGAGGCUGUGGGCACCAGUUGCUGCACAUAAUCAUUGAAAGCUGUAGCACUGUGAAUAUAUUUCUGAUUAUGUUUCAGUUCUUCAUUAUUAAAAAUGGACUGCAGUUGAUUCAUAGUUUUGCUGCAAUCAGCUGAAACCCAAUUACCACCACAGCACGAACCACUUCUGAUACGGACUCUCAGACCACCAGGAAGAAAUAACUGCUGUAUUUCUAAAGCACUACUUUCCCCAAGUGGCAAAUAUAACUCAUUUGUUUUUACACAGUUUGGGAAUUUUCUACAAAACUUUGUACAACUAAAUACUACACUGACAAUUAUACAGUGUCCGGAUACUACUACACGGAGAUGGAUUUUUCCUUUCCAAACUUUGACUCCAGCCAUGGCCCUGUAUUACAGCAACACCAAACCAUAAUCUUUUCCCUGCAGGAGGGAGUUUGUCCUUGGCCUCCUGCAACAGCAGAACCCACUCCCCACAGCCUACCUGUGCCCUGCUGAUCGAAAUCCUGCUCUUUCAUGUCAAACCCAUUCUGACAGGUCCACCAAUUUUCUUUCACAACAUCACGGUUAGCAGCAGGGUGGGGAGCAAUGUUUACUCUUUUGCCAGACGUUCCACGUAAGCAGCAUGAGCAAUAAUGGCUUGCCACCCUGCCCAACGGUUUCUCCUCUCCUCCCUCUUUAAAAAUAUGUCACUUUUCUUUGGGAUUGGAAGGAUAGGAAAUUACUUUAGUUUUCCCUGAAUAUUAGAAAUAAAUUUCUUCAUGCACAUACUUUUGGUCGAUCCUUCCUGCAGAAAUACAGCCCAAAGGCUGUUGAUACGUGGCCAUGCAGCCCAGUUUAAGAAAGAAGAGAGAUUUGUGCAUCGGUUGAAGGUCAGGAUGCAGCACAGAGCGCAGGGAAUGGCAGAACAGGGUUAUUAGGAAUGGGCAGCAGGAGGAAAAUAAAGCCACACUGUGUCUUCAUGUUUCUGUCCUUCUUCAGAGGUUGUUAGUGAAGUCAUAUCUCUAUUGGCAACAUCACAGUCGUCUCCACAGCAACCGAUGUGAUGCUGCAGAAUGCCGAAACGUCUGGUUUUAAAAAAGGAGUCAUCAUGCUGAUGGGGCUGCAUACAUCCUCUGGCUUACUGAAGGAGGUGAAACGGGGUCUGUGAUAUGUAUUUUGUGGUAACUACAACAGCUAAGUGUCCUUCUCCACAAAAGGUGAUGGGCUCAAUGACAGCCCCCCAUUGGUUCCAACAGGGACAGGAAUUUACCUCCAAGCUUCUGAGUACUUCAGGCAUGGACAGCAGCAGCGAGUAGAGACGUGUUACUGAAGAUGGUUCAUCUGGGAGGUCAUAUUUCCAGAUAAAGCCUUGCCUCUGUGCAGUAGCCUUCAGGUGCUGAGAAAGUCCUCCCCAAAUGGCCAGGUUGGAAUGCCCAUAUGGAGCAGUACCUCCUGAAGACAUCACAGGAGCUCAGCCUACGCUGCGAUCAGUUGACUCAACAUAUAUUUUUAAGCCUACAACCACAGUGGGAUUUCACAAAAGACAGAAUACAUAUUUGGAAACUGUCAAGAAACAGCCACCUUCACGUUGCAGCUGCCUUUGGUACGUUGGAGCUGUCGGAAGUAACAGAACUGGAAAUGGGGAGGCUGGAAACACUGCGUAGGACCCACUUCUAACCCCAAGCUGCUGCAGAAGCAGCCUUUCUGGUGCUUUUUGGCAUGUGCAUUGAGAUUUCCUGUGCAACAGCUGAGCCAAAGCUUCACUGCAGGUAGCUGUGACGUGUGUCCAUGCACAAAGACUCGCUGCACAGGGACAGCCAUGGCCGCUGCAGCAUGGGGAGGUGGCCCUGGUGCUCCCCAGCCUUGAGCAGUGAGGGGUCUGUGGAGCUCAAAGCACUUCACAGACCUCAGCACCCCUGGCUGCCGUGUGCUGUGGGGUAGCUGAGUAGGGACUUGGUGUUACAGGCACAAACUGAAUGACACGCAGAGGUUGUGCUGCUCUUGUAGCAGGGGCAUGGCAAUAACCUGCCCCAGCAAGUCCAUGGCAGCCAGAAAAUGGAAAUGCCUUGACAAGCUGUUUUCCAUAAAUCCAAGAACAUCCAGAAAGUAUUAGAUAUAGCAAUUUCACAUCCAAUAAAACAAGAGUAAACUUUA